rnacentral:rRNA from 1 species
GAUGAACGCUGGCGGUGUGCCUAAUACAUGCAAGUCGAACGAAAACACGGUGAGCUUGCUCUCUUGCCGGUAGCGGGUGACGGACGAGUAACACGUGCAUAACCAUCCUAUUAUUCUGGGAUAAUAUCGGGAAGAAACUUCCACUAAUAGCUAAUACAUCCUACCGGUUGGUUCAAUAGUUAAUCGCACCUUUCCUGUCAGUUUUAGCUGGAUUCGGGCCGGAUUAGCUAGUUGGUAAGGUAACGGCUAACCAAGGCGACGUUGCGUAGCCGACCUGAGAGGGUGAUCGGCCACACUGGAACUGAGACACGGUCCAGACUCCUACGGGAGGCAGCAGUAGGGAAUAUUGCGCAAUGGGCGCAAGCCUGACGGAGCAACACCGCGUGAGUGAAGAAGGUCUUCGGAUCGUAAAGCUCUGUUAUUAGGAAAGAACAGAAGUAUAUUUAUAUAUGCACGUCUUGACGGUACCUAAACAGAAAGCCACGGCUAACUACGUG